GGCAGUGAUAGCUCUGUGGUUAAGGUCUUGGUCUACUGCUCAGAAGGUUGUGAGUUCAAACCUAAGCACUGCCA